GCGAUCUGCAGCUGCUCGGAGCGGGACGGCAGGAACGAGCGCUUGUGCUCGGGGAAGGCCCGCAGCGGCGUCGCCAGCACCUCCCGGCUGAACCACUCCACCCACGGCUGCGGCGGACACACGCGGCACACACCCGUGAGGAAUAUUUCUGACCUGGUACUCGUCAUGGUCAGGGUUGGGUACUUGGCCCUCCCGGAUCCUCUGUAUGAGCUGCAAGUCUUCCUUGCUGAGCACCACGUCCUGUCCUGUUGAGGGAUCACGUACUGUUCUCCAAAAAUCUGGAUCUUCACAUUUUCUAGAAAUCAAAUAAUGAAUAUGUGACUCCUUGUGACAUAUCUAAGGAAUUAUUCUAUUAUUA